UGAGAGCACGUGAUUGGUCGGCUCAUGAAUAGGCCACGCCCCCUUUCUGUAUUGGGGCACGUGAUUGGUCGGUUCAUGAAUAGGCCACGCCCCCUUUCUGUAUUGAGAGCACGUGAUUGGUCGGUUCAUAAAUAGGCUCCUCCCCCUUUCUGUAUUGAGAGCACGUGAUUGGUCGGUUCAUAAAUAGACUCCUCCCUCUUUCUGUAUUGGGGGCACGUGAUUGGUCGGUUCAUAAAUAGGCUCCUCCCCCUUUCUGUAUUGAGAGCACGUGAUUGGUCGGUUCAUGAGUAGGCCACGCCCCCUUAUUACUAGAGGCUGCCUGUGUUUGGUGGAAUUUGAGAACACUUUGAUUUUGAUAGAUUAGAAUAAGUAAAUAAAUCAGUGUGAUGAUGAAAUAGGGAAAAAAAUAGUGACGAGAAAUAAUGGAAAAAAGACAAAAUAAAA